UGAGUAACACGUAUCCAACCUGCCGUCUACUCUUGGACAGCCUUCUGAAAGGAAGAUUAAUACAAGAUGGCAUCAUGAGUCCGCAUGUUCACAUGAUUAAAGGUAUUCCGGUAGACGAUGGGGAUGCGUUCCAUUAGAUAGUAGGCGGGGUAACGGCCCACCUAGUCUUCGAUGGAUAGGGGUUCUGGGAGGAAGGUCCCCCACAUUGGAACUGAGACACGGUCCAA
rnacentral:rRNA from 1 species